AAAAUAUAUAUUUAUUUUUCUUAAGAAUAUUAUUAUUUGGCAGCGUUGACUGUUUGACAAUGAAUAAGUUACGUGUAUAUAUUAUAUAUUACGUAAUGUGGUUACUUUUGUCAUGAUGUCUCACGUUGGUGACGUUCCAAUUGCCUAUUGGUUCCAUCUUUUAGAUUUUUCCAAUUUAACAGACAAAGACAUGUUAGUUGACAAAGAAAAUGACAAAGACAAAGACAAAGACAUGUUGUUAAUGUCAGAUUUAUACAAUAAAAACUUCAUUACCUAAAAUAAACAGUACAAAACAAAACUCAACUAACAAUGGGAAAGCGAGUCGGGUUGAGUUCUGAAUUCUGAUACUCGGAGACCCGGUUUUGAAUCAAAAGCCCACAAACCCAAAAAGGCCCAUAAGUAAAAUGACAUUUUCUCUUUACGGCCCAUUCGUAUUGGGUCACCUCCACUGCAACCUCCAAAACGAUAUCUCGCCGCCUGUCGACGACGACGUCUGCUUUGCUUUGCACCGUAAGUAUCAACUUAGAAGAAGCGUUUUAGCUCAAUCCUUAGAUCCGAUGGAGGUUUGUGGCGUAGAUUCUGAAGGGAAGGAGUUUAACAGCGCACAAGAGAUGUGGAGAGAAGAAAUUGGAGAAGAAGGAGAUGAAACGAAGAAGACCCAAUGGUACAGAGACGGAGUUUCUUACUGGGAAGGUGUUGAAGCUUCUGUUGAUGGAGUAUUGGGAGGAUACGGGCAUGUGAAUGAUGCUGAUAUUAUAGGAAGUGAGGUCUUUCUCAAGACCCUUUUGCAAGAAAGAUUAGUGAAUGGAGAAACAAAUCAACAUCUAGUGGCUCUUGAUUGUGGAUCUGGCGUUGGAAGGAUCACCAAGAAUCUUCUGAUACGGUACCUUAACGAGGUUGAUCUUGUCGAGCCUGUAGCUCAGUUCCUCGAUGCGGCACGUGAAAAUCUCGCAUCUACGGGCUCAGAAACGCACAAAGCAGCUAACUUUUUCUGUGUACCUCUUCAGGAGUUUACUCCAGCUGAUCAGAGGUACGAUGUCAUAUGGGUUCAGUGGUGCAUUGGGCAUCUCACUGACGAUGAUUUUGUUUCUUUCUUUAACCGAGCAAAGGGAUGCCUUAAACCCGGUGGGUUUUUUGUUGUGAAAGAGAAUCUCGCUAAGCAAGGAUUUGUUUUGGAUAAAGAGGAUCGUAGCAUCACCAGAUCGGAUCCCUACUUUAAACAGCUCUUUCGUCGAUGUGGGUUACAUCUCUAUCAAACAAAGGAUCAGAAGGGUCUUCCGAAAGAGUUAUUUGCUGUAAAAAUGUAUGCUUUAACGGUUGAUACACCACCCAAAGUCCACAGAACCAGAUCGAAAACUAGCAGCAACAGACCACAAAUUAUCAAAUGACAGUCUUGUUUUUUUUUUUUAUGUGCGAAAUUCUAGACUUUAUUUAAUGAAAGAAGCUACCUAAGUUAUUGUAAGAUCCGUGGAGCAAGGCUUGGUUGCUUCGAGGUCAAAGAACUUGCGUAGAAGAUCUGUAGUGGUGUGGGGUGUUUUGCUGGUGUUUUUGCAAUUGCGGAUUGCUUUUGGCUAGAGCAACUUGUUAGCGUUUGAGGCUUUUUGCUGGUUCUAUAUCUAACGGUUUAUUGUGCAAAAAUCCAUGUAGAGUGUCAUUGUUGUUUCCAAUUCUCCGCUCAGGUGUUAAGCGUUGGUUUAGGGCUUCUGCUGCUGUGUUAUAAUGGGAUCAAAAUCUCGUAUGCUAUUGUCUUUGUAUAUAUUGUCUUUAGAUA